rnacentral:rRNA from 1 species
CCUACGGGAGGCAGCAGUGGGGAAUAUUGCACAAUGGGGGAAACCCUGAUGCAGCGACGCCGCGUGAGUGAAGAAGUAUUUCGGUAUGUAAAGCUCUAUCAGCAGGGAAGAAAAUGACGGUACCUGACUAAUAAGCCCCGGCUAACUACGUGCCAGCAGCCGCGGUAUUACGUAGGGGGCACGCGCUAGCCGGAUUUACUGGGUGUAAAGGGAGCGUAGGUGGCAGGGCAAGUCAGAUGUGAAAACCUGGGGCUCAACCCCGGGAUGGCAUUUGAAACUGGCCAGCUGGAGUGCAGGAGAGGUAAGCGGAAUUCCUAGUGUAGCGGUGAAAUGCGUAGAUAUUAGGAGGAACACCAGUGGCGAAGGCGGCUUACUGGACUGUAACUGACACUGAGGCUCGAAAGCGUGGGGAGCAAACAGGAUUAGAUACCCCUGUAGUC